CCGAUACGAAGUAGUCUCGUUCCGUGGGCAAAGGCUAAGGUGUUCAGUGCUGCCGGUGCAGGUGUGGAGGAAAGAAAGGAGCCACCUGGAGCAGAGUUUUGAAGAUCAGAUGAUGUGGUGAAGCAGGCCAGUGCGGGGAACCUCUGGUCUGCCAUCUUGAAUCUCUGCUUCGUGUGACACUGCUGGAUUGGCGAGCAAGAGAGGAAGGACCGGGCUCGAACAGGGCUUCCUGCAUCCAGACCUGGAGCCUUUCUGGGGAAACUUGGAUCUGCAGAGCAGCAGCCUAGGCUGGCAACAGGCUGCCUCAGCUCCCGUGGGAGCAGAAGAAAGAGCAGCUGGUGACAGG
rnacentral:lncRNA from 1 species